rnacentral:rRNA from 1 species
CGCCUCUAGAUUACUAUAUUAAAGGUCCAUCCUGCCCAAUGACAAAGUUUAAAUGGCCGCGGUACCCUGACCGUGCUAAGGUAGCAUAAUCAUUUGCCUCUUAAUUGGUGGCUAGUAUGAAUGGACACACGCAAGUACCCCUGUCUCAUCAGCAUAUAUAAAAAUUACCAAUCAGGUGAAGAGGCCUGAAUGAAAUAAAAAGACAAAAAGACCCUAUGGAGCUUUAUUUAACACCUCAAUGCCACCAGCUAACACCAUCCCACUUUGAGCAAAUAAAUUUAGUUGGGGCGACUAAGGAAAACUAUAAAUCUUCCUCAUAAAAAAGAAAAUAAAUCCUCAUUGAUCCGUUAUACGAAUAAAGACACAGCUACCCUAGGGAUAACAGGCUAAUUCUUCUCGAGAGCCCAAAUUGACAGAAGAGAUUGGCACCUCGAUGUUGGCUUAGGGUUCCUACAGGGUGCAGAAGCC